rnacentral:rRNA from 1 species
GUGUCAGCAGCCGCGGUAAUACAGAGGGUGCAAGCGUUGUUCGGAAUUACUGGGCGUAAAGCGCGUGUAGGCGGCCCGUUAAGUCUCGUGUGAAAGCCCUGGGCUCAACCCAGGAAGUGCGCGAGAUACUGGUGGGCUGGAGUGACGGAGAGGAUGGCGGAAUACCCGGUGUAGAGGUGAAAUUCGUAGAUAUCGGGUGGAACACCUGUGGCGAAGGCGGCCAUCUGGACGUUCACUGACGCUGAGACGCGAAAGCGUGGGGAGCAAACAGGAUUAGAUACCCUGGUAGUCCACGCUGUAAACGAUGGAUGCUAGAUGUCGCGGGUAUUGACCCCCGCGGUGUCGACGCCAACGCAUUAAGCAUCCCGCCUGGGGAGUACGGCCGCAAGGUUAAA